UCUAACUGUUGAUUAAUCACAUUGUAAAUAGUUAUGGUAGUUACAAGCAUAACAAUACGCGUUCGUUUUUAGACGUAGGAAACAAACGUUCAUUCAACGAACAUAAUGUGAAGAUAAAGCUUAAAACCGCUUUAUUAACAUAGUUUUAAACCGCAUGAGAGCUUCGUUUCCUUCAAGUUACACCUUGAAUGAGUGACAGUUGAAAAGCAACAGUUACAACAGAAAAAUCUCUUCAAUUGAUAAUAAAUAAAGGGUACAUAGAACAACAAUAAAAUGUUGUCACAAACGUGGUAUAGAAUAGACCAUCCUCGUGAUAAUGAUGGAUUUGGAAGACUGAGCAUAGACUGGACGGGUGUGAAACGAACGCAAAGGCAGGGGACAAAAUUUCGGCCAUAUAUAUUUGGGCGGCAUAAAAUCCGGACCGAAUCGGGACUCUGUUUCCGAGCCGGACGGAUAUAUGUAGAUGAUGAACAUCACAGGUAAAUGAAACUUAUAAAUCGGUAACAAUCCGUUAUUUAAACAACAAUUUUGAGAUGAAGCAUUCUACUUUAAAAAUAAAAUAGUAGUAAAAAUUUAAACAAAUUAGUGAUAAAUACCUUACAUAACGUAACCGAUAAUGCAGCAAAUAUUAUACAGGCAAUACAAUUAUUUUCAUAAGUGGAAGCGUAUCCCACAUUUCUCUUGCAGUUUACAGAUGAACAAACAAUAAAGAACAAUUAAAUGUCAAAAUAAAUAAUAAAUCGUGAAGUUUUAAUAUCUAAAUGUAAUCAGUUUUUUGAGUUAGCAAUAAAAUAUUCUAUAAAACA